rnacentral:rRNA from 1 species
UACGUAGGGUGCGAGCGUUGUCCGGAAUUAUUGGGCGUAAAGAGCUCGUAGGUGGUUUGUCGCGUUGUUCGUGAAAACUCACAGCUUAACUGUGGGCGUGCGGGCGAUACGGGCAGACUUGAGUACUGCAGGGGAGACUGGAAUUCCUGGUGUAGCGGUGGAAUGCGCAGAUAUCAGGAGGAACACCGGUGGCGAAGGCGGGUCUCUGGGCAGUAACUGACGCUGAGGAGCGAAAGCGUGGGGAGCAAACAGG